rnacentral:rRNA from 1 species
CCCUUAGAUGUUCUGGGCUGCACGCGCGCUACACUGAAGCGUUCAACGAGUAUUCACCUUGCCCGGGAGGGUUGGGUAAUCUUUUGAAAACGCUUCGUGAUGGGGAUAGAUUAUUGCAAUUAUUAAUCUUCAACGAGGAAUUCCUAGUAAGCGCGAGUCAUCAGCUCGUGCUGAUUACGUCCCUGCCCUUUGUACACACCGCCCGUCGCACCUACCGAUUGAAUGGUCCGGUGAAAUCUCGGGACGGCGGCUUGGUCGCUUGCGUCCGACUGCUGAAACUUGAUUAAACCAUAUCAUUUAGAGGAAGGUGAANUCGUANCA